rnacentral:rRNA from 1 species
GGGGGAGCGACCCCUUCGGUGCCGUCGCUAACGCAGUAAGUACCCCGCCUGGGGAGUACGGCCGCAAGGCUGAAACUCAAAGGAAUUGACGGGGGCCCGCACAAGCGGUGGAGCAUGUGGUUUAAUUCGAUGCAACGCGAAGAACCUUACCUGGGCUUGACAUGCACGUGAAACCCCGUGGAAACACGGGGCCCUCUUCGGAGUACGUGCACAGGUGCUGCACGGCUGUCGUCAGCUCGUGUCGUGUGAUGUUGGGUUAAGUCCCGCAACGAGCGCAACCCUCGCUCCCAGUUGCCAGCGGUUCGGCCGGGGACUCUGGGGGGACUGCCGGUGUCAAACCGGAGGAAGGCGGGAAUGACGUCAAGUCCUCAUGGCCCUUACGCCCAGGGCGACACACGUGCUACAAUGGCCGGUACAACGCGCUGCGAACCCGCGAGGGUGAGCCAAUCGCUUAAAGCCGGUCUAAGUUCGGAUUGUAGUCUGUAACUCGACUGCAUGAAGCCGGAAUCGCUAGUAAUCGCGGAUCAGCCAUGCCGCGGUGAAUACGUUCCCGGGCCUUGUACACACCGCCCGUCACGCCAUGGAAGCUGGGGGCACCCGAAGCCGGUGGGCUAACCGCAAGGAGGCAG